CGAAAAACUCAACCAGUAUGAGAAAGACUUGUCAAGUGCAAGUUUCGUGCAGAAAUCUCUGGAAGAUCAGUUAGCAGAGACUAUAAAAUGUAAAAGGAUGAUGGAAGACCUCAUGCAAAGCCUUGAAAAAGAAAAUUCAAAAAUGAAAGUAAACUUUGGAAAGGCACUGGACUG